rnacentral:misc_RNA from 1 species
CAUAUUCUUUUAAUUUGAUGGAAGAAGCGAUCGAUGGAUGGAAGAGAGCGUCCUUCAGUCCACUCAUGGGCGGUGCUAGGGUCGAAUUAGCUGCCGACUCAUUCACCCACAUGCCAAGCAAGAAACGCUUGAGAUAGCGAAGCUUAGCAGAUGAGUGAAUGAAGCGGGAGGUAACGUUCCGAUCUCGCGCCGUCUUUGCUUGGACUGAAGGGUGCUCCCUCCUCCUCGAUCUCUUCGAUCUAAUUAAGCUACCUUGACAU